CUCCCUUCCUCCCACCCUGUGGACUUUUGCCCUCCUGCCCAGCACAGCACUCUGUCCAAAGCCCCGUCCCUCAGUCAUAUCGUGAACCCUUCUCCACCUGCCUGCAUCUCCAGGGUACCCUCCCGUACAUCAAGCCCCGUCCAACCAUAAAGGAGUGUCUCGGUUCGAGUACCCCCAAAUCUGACCCCUGAAAAAGAGCUCUUGGGACCCAGGAGCUGGUGAAUGAUCUAGAAGAUGGUAUCAGAAGUCAGGAGUGAGGGCAGGUAAAGAAGGAAGGAGAGCCUAAGAGGUGCCCCAUGGCUCUGGAAACUGAGAGGCAGACAGCACUUGAGUGGGAAGACUCACAGGGGCAGGAUCCACACUUAGGCCAAGGGGGCUGAAGUGAUACCAGGCAGGAACCACCAGCUUCUCUCACAGAAUGGCCUUGCUUGUGGUGCGGACAGAGUGAUGACUCUUCCUGCCUUGUAGAGGACAACAUGAAGCUCAGAGAUACAAGCAAGUGCCUCAGGGUCACACAGCACAUCAGAACCUACAAAGUUCAAGCUGACCGGCUUAAACUUGCGCUCCGUCUAUGUAAUAACCAGUUCCCAUCUCUGCCUCCCCCAGCAGGGAGCUCCGGGAGGGCAUGGCUGUGCCCUCCUCCUCCCUGCCUUCCUGCCCACGGCUGUGCGGGCAAAUGUUUGUUCGGCUCGGGAGGGACCCCGUGCAGAUGAAGUUCCCGGUCAACACAGUGUGCCCUUGGUCCUCCGUGAACAUUUGUUGAAUGAAUGAGUAGAUGAACAAUGAUCACUUAUACCCAAAGCUUAUGAACCCUUCGCAGCUGGUAAACCCCAUUCUCAUGAAUUCCAGUGAUUGCCGUGUAAUAAACCAUCCCCAGAC